GAAUAUACGUUUAAAAUAAGUAAACACUAAAAGUGCACACUGACAGUUGAUUACGAUACAUCUAACAAUUUGAGUCAUUACAGUAAAACAUGGAUUAUAAGUGAAUUAUACGCGUAAGAGAAGAUUUUCUGUCGAAAAAACUAAUGUCAACAAUCAGCAUGGAAUUGGGAUAUUCGUAUCAAAGGGCUAUUCAUGCAGGAAAAGGACUGAAUAUUACUAUUAUAUGAAGAAUUCCAGCCUGCAUUAAAUACUUUGUUGGAUCAUUGAGACAGAUUUGACAUCCAUGUCUAUCCACAUCUGAUAGAGAUGAUCACUAAACAUUCUAGAUGGGUAAAGACCUGUUAAAUCAGCAUUGACUCAGCAUUGAGUAAUUUUCAUCUGUGCAGACACUACAAGUACAAACGCAUGGGAACAAACCAAACUUCAAAUGUUGAAGAGUGAAGAAUUAUUGUGAAAAGUUCUAAAUGUUAGAAUACCAUUGACUAAAUAAAACAAAUAGACAUCGAUUACCAGCAGAGACUGUUUACAUGUUAUAAUAUUAAAAAGACAUUGAGAACUUUCACUCUGACAUUUUGGAGGGGCAUUACCGCCUACUUAGUGUUCUUGUUUCUUUACAUAUUUUAAUUUAAAAGUACAUUCAUUGUUUUUAAAUCUGAAUUCUGAGUUAGUAUCAUAAGUAAAAUUCAUUUAUUUGAAUGAUUACAUUUUAUGAAU